rnacentral:rRNA from 1 species
UGCGUAGGCGGACUAAUAAGUCAGUGGUGAAAUCUUUCGGCUCAACCGAGAAACUGCCAUUGAUACUGUUAGUCUCGAGUUCGGUUGAGGUAGGCGGAAUGUGUAAUGUAGCGGUGAAAUGCUUAGAUAUUACACAGAACACCAAUUGCGUAGGCAGCUUACUAGACCGACACUGACGCUGAGGCACGAAAGCGUGAGGAGCGAACAGGAUUAGAUACCCUGGUAGUCC